rnacentral:rRNA from 1 species
GACGAACGCUGGUUGCGUGCUUAACACAUGCAAGUCGAACGGAAAGGCCCUGCUUUUGUGGGGUGCUCGAGUGGCGAACGGGUGGGUAACACGUGAGUAACCUGCCCUUGACUUUGGGAUAACUUCAGGAAACUGGGGCUAAUACCGGAUAGGAGCUCCUGCUGCAUGGUGGGGGUUGGAAAGUUUCGGCGGUUGGGGAUGGACUCGCGGCUUAUCAGCUUGUUGGUGGGGUAGUGGCUUACCAAGGCUUUGACGGGUAGCCGGCCUGAGAGGGUGACCGGCCACAUUGGGACUGAGAUACGGCCCAGACUCCUACGGGAGGCAGCAGUGGGGAAUAUUGCACAAUGGGCGGAAGCCUGAUGCAGCAACGCCGCGUGCGGGAUGACGGCCUUCGGGUUGUAACCCGCUUUCGCCUGUGACGAAGCGUGAGUGACGGUAAUGGGUAAAGAAGCACCGGCUAACUACGUGCCAGCAGCCGCGGUGAUACGUAGGGUGCGAGCGUUGUCCGGAUUUAUUGGGCGUAAAGGGCUCGUAGGUGGUUGAUCGCGUCGGAAGUGUAAUCUUGGGGCUUAACCCUGAGCGUGCUUUCGAUACGGGUUGACUUGAGGAAGGUAGGGGAGAAUGGAAUUCCUGGUGGAGCGGUGGAAUGCGCAGAUAUCAGGAGGAACACCAGUGGCGAAGGCGGUUCUCUGGGCCUUUCCUGACGCUGAGGAGCGAAAGCGUGGGGAGCGAACAGGCUUAGGUACCCUGGUAGUCCACGCUGUAAACGGUGGGUACUAGGUGUGGGGUCCAUUCCACGGGUUCCGUGCCGUAGCUAACGCUUUAAGUACCCCGCCUGGGGAGUACGGCCGCAAGGCUAAAACUCAAAGGAAUUGACGGGGCCCCGCACAAGCGGCGGAGCAUGCGGAUUAAUUCGAUGCAACGCGUAGAACCUUACCUGGGUUUGACAUGGAUCGGGAGUGCUCAGAGAUGGGUGUGCCUCUUUUGGGGUCGGUUCACAGGUGGUGCAUGGCUGUCGUCAGCUCGUGUCGUGAGAUGUUGGGUUAAGUCCCGCAACGAGCGCAACCCUUGUUCACUGUUGCCAGCACGUUAUGGUGGGGACUCAGUGGAGACCGCCGGGGUCAACUCGGAGGAAGGUGGGGAUGACGUCAAGUCAUCAUGCCCCUUAUGUCCAGGGCUUCACGCAUGCUACAAUGGCUGGUACAGAGAGUGGCGAGCCUGUGAGGGUGAGCGAAUCUCGGAAAGCCGGUCUCAGUUCGGAUUGGGGUCUGCAACUCGACCUCAUGAAGUCGGAGUCGCUAGUAAUCGCAGAUCAGCAACGCUGCGGUGAAUACGUUCCCGGGGCU